rnacentral:rRNA from 1 species
CCUAGUACUGGCGAGUGAAGCGGCAACAGCUCAAAUUUGAAAUCUGGCUCUUUUAGAGUCCGAGUUGUAAUUUGCAGAGGGCGCUUUGGCUUUGGGAGCGGUCCAAGUUCCUUGGAACAGGGCGUCACAGAGGGGGAGAAUCCCGUAGGUGGUCGCUGGCUAUUGCCGUGUAAAGCCCCUUCGACGAGUCGAGUUGUUUGGGAAUGCAGCUCUAAAUGGGAGGUACAUUUCUUCUAAAAGCUAAAUAUUGGCCAGAGACCGAUAGCGCACAAGUAGAGUGAUCGAAAGAUGAAAAGCACUUUGGAAAGAGAGUCAAACAGCACGUGAAAUUGUUGAAAGGGAAGCGCUUGCAACCAGACUUGCUUACAGUUGCUCAUCCGGGUUUCUACCCGGUGCACUCUUCUGUAGGCAGGCCAGCAUCAGUUUGGGCGGUAGGAUAAAGGUCUCUGUCUCGUACCUCCUUUCGGGGAGGCCUUAUAGGGGAGACGACAUACUACCAGCCUGGACUGAGGUCCGCGCAUCUGCUAGGAUGCUGGCGUAAUGGCUGUAAGCGGCCCGUCUUGAAACACGGACCAAGGAGUCUAACAUCUAUGCGAGUGUUUGGGUGUCAAGCCCGAGCGCGUAAUGAAAGUGAACGGAGGUGAGGAACCCGCAAGGGUGCACCAUCGACCGAUCCUGAUGUCUUCGGAAGGAUUUGAGUAAGAGCAUGGCUGUUGGGACCCGAAAGAUGGUGAACUAUGCUUGAAUAGGGUGAAGCCAGAGGAAACUCUGGUGGAGGCUCGCAGCGGUUCUGACGUGCAAAUCGAUCGUCAAAUUUGGGCAUAGGGCGAA